CUGGGUUGGCCAAAAAGUUUUGGGGGUUUUUCUGUAACAUCUAAUGGAAAAACCUGAGUGAACUUUUUGGCCAACACAG
rnacentral:miRNA from 1 species